rnacentral:rRNA from 1 species
AGGCUGAAACUUAAAGAAAUUGACGAAAGGGCACCACCAGGAGUGGAGCCUGCGGUUAAUUUGACUCAACACGGGGGAACUUACCAGGUCCAGACAUAGUAAGGAUGGACAGAUGAGAGCUCUUUCUAGAUUCUAUGGUGGUGGGUGCAUGCCCGUUCUUAGUGGUGGAGUGAUUGUUCUGUUAAAUUCCGUAAACGAACGAGACCUCCGCGUGCUAAAUAGUUCUGUCUACAAUUGUAGAUGAGGACUUCUUAGAGGGACUUUUGGUGACUAACCAAAGGAAGUUGGAGGCAAUAACAGGUCUGUGAUGCCCUUAGAUGUUCUGGGCCGCACGCGCGCUACAAUGAUGCGUUCAACGAGUUUACAACCUUGAUCGAUAGGUCUGGGUAAUCUUGUAAACGCGCAUCGUGCUAGGGAUAGAUUAUUGCAAUUAUUAAUCUUGAACGAGGAAUUCCUAGUAAACGCAAGUCAUCAGCUUGCAUUGAUUACGUCCCUGCCCUUUGUACACACCGCCCGUCGCACCUACCGAUUGAAUGACUCGGUGAAAAAUUGGGACUGUGAAUUCGUUUGCUUUAUUGCAAGUGAUUUUAUGGGAACUUUUUUUAACCUCGCCAUUUAGAGGAAGGUGAAGUCGUAACAAGGUUUCCGUAGGUGAACCUGCAG